rnacentral:misc_RNA from 1 species
AUAUGAACCUCUGUUUUUGAGUCUGCAUAUGCCCACUUUGGUGAAAAAUCAACAAUGCUGAAAAGUUGGUCUUGCGAAAGAGAGGGGCUCAAUGAUUCUUCAUCGACCACAUUUCCACAUUCAACAGUACUCCAUGAAAGACCAGACGUGGACCUCAUAUGCAAAUCAUCCACCUCUCCAAGUUCUUUAGUAACCCACCGAGAAAAGCUGUCAACUUUUUUCAAGCUCUCUUCCCCAUCUAAUAAUGGCGGUUUAGCAACGAAAGCAUGUUUAAUAUUUUCUCCCACAGACAUUUCGUUCUCAGAUUUUGUGUGCAUUUCAGAUUGUGGUUCUGCAUUUGAGAGCUGCAUUUGAAGGUGAUUCUGCACAACUUCUUCAUUGUGCUGAACAGGACCAGAGAAAAAUUCCUCAAAUGUAUUUUGUAGAUCCACAUUAUGAGAUCUUUGAUCAAACAACCUGGGAUCCAAAUUAUAUGCCAACUCCAAAUCUAGUGUUUGGUCAAUAGGGCCCUCCGGCAAGUCCAAGGAACUGUUCUCGAAAGGAAUCUGCCAAUGUGAUUCCAUUAGCAAAGAACCACCAUGCUCAUCUUUGGCAGCAAUGCCACUAGUUAAAGUCUCACUGAAAAUCUCAUUCCUUCCAAUGCCAGUAGGAUUAGAUUGAAUGGAACUCAUUGAUAAAUUAGAAGGAGCACUUUUGUUUCCCAUUGUAUAUUGUUCCAAGAUCUCCUCCCAGGAUGCCAAGCUCUCAGACUCAGUAAUGCAAGUACCAACGUUAGUUCCAGUUCCAUCUCCAUGAACAUAUGAGAUUGGACCUACGGAAUUGAUGACUGACCUUCAUGAUUAUCUGAACCAUGAUGCAGAAAAUGAGAGCUCAACACACCACUAUUUAUUUUGUCUAUCACAGGACUACUCUGCAUUUGUGGUGACUCAAGAAAUAUGUGGCGUCCAGAAUUUGAUUGCUGACUAUCCGCUGAAUCAGCAUCUUCACAAUAGGAUGCAAGAGUGCUAGUUGGGCUUGUUGAAUCUGUAUUUCCUGAAGGCUCUUUGUUAUGACUUGCAACUAAGCUAUUUGAAGGGCUGCUAUUUGUCCUGUUACCCUUAACUUCCAAGUAGUGAACAAAAACUAUGUGCAUCAGUUCCUGUUCAAGCAACCAAUAGCUGCGCCUUUGAAAGCUCUCAUUCUCUUCUCCGUGGGCAUAAUAGCAAUGUAAUACAUCAACACUUCCAACCUUCAACUUCUCAUGAGCUUCCUUCACUGUCUUUCCAUCCUUUUUUUUCCUCCAAUUAUGUCCAUCUUUUCUAAAGUACCUCAAAACUUUCCGAUCAAAAAGAAAGAGAGAACCACUUGGUGGCCUGUUUGGAGGCUCUGAUGCAAUAUGGAACUUUUGAUAAUUACGAAGAAUUUCACAAAUCUCAGCAGGCCUCAACCAUCGGUGUUGGGCUUCUAAAAAUAAUUGUUGAAUGUCUAAUCGAGGACCCAGUCCAUAAGAUCCGAGAUCAGCCAUCAGAAGAUGGACCUAAGCAAGAGAUUGACUGAUCGAUCUAUCGAAACCAAAAACACGGAAGCUGAGAUUUUAGAGCAAGAAGAAUAGAGAGAGAGGGUUUUGAAGGAA